rnacentral:rRNA from 1 species
UACGAAGGGGGCGAGCGUUGUUCGGAUUUACUGGGCGUAAAGGGCGCGUAGGCGGCCUUGUCAGUCAGGCGUGAAAGCCCCGGGCUCAACCUGGGAACGGCGCUUGGGACGGCGAGGCUGGAGUUCGGGAGAGGAGAGUGGAAUUCCCAGUGUAGAGGUGAAAUUCGUAGAUAUUGGGAAGAACACCGGUGGCGAAGGCGGCAUCCUGGACCAUUACUGACGCUGAGUGAGCGAAAGCCAGGGGAGCAAACGGG